CCUAGGAGAGUUUCGUCUUGUGUCUUGCUGAAGGGACAACAUAUGUGGUGAUUUGGAUCUUACGUGUAUGCAUAACUCAAUUAAAAUAUGGCCGGAGAUGAAUGCUUGUCUAAGGUAGCAACCUUCAUCCAAGAACUUAAGGCACUUAGAUCUCUUGUGAAAGGUACACGAACAGAGGAGCCUGUGUUAUGCGACAUAUUUACCUGGAUCUGUCAUGAGCUGUACAAUGACAUUGAACUGAAGCCAUUAGCUCUACGACAUGCAAUACAAAAAAACAUUUUAAUAGACCGUAAAGAUAUAACAGAGAUCCUCAUAGAUAUAUUUACCGGAGCUGGGCAGAAAACUAGCAAGUUAAAUGCACUGCAAAAUGAAGUACUUGACCCACAGUAUGACCAGGCAAAUUAUGUUAUAUAUUUGUAUUGCCUAGCAACGUUUGUUGACCUUGACAUUUAUGUCGUGAAUUCUGAGGUCGACAAUGAAUUUAAAUGGAUGGAAUACAAGUCCUUAAAAAUACUGAACAUCGAACAAAAAAUAGAUUACAUAAACAAGACGUACACGUUUGAUGUGAACAGAGCUAAUAAAACACCAGGUUUCCUGAUGUCGUACAUGCAUAUGGAUGCGAACGGACUGCAUAUGUAUAUGAUACGACCAGAAUCAAGCCGACCUCAGAGGCCUAAAUGUCGAGGAAUGGUCGAGAUUGCUGCACGGCAAUUAAAAUGUACUCCACUAGAUGCAAUUACAGUGCCGAACUGGUUGGUAGUUGAUGUUCAACAGAAUGCCGCUCAGAUACCAACGACUUGCAAACGUAUCAGACUCUGGGUAGAAGAACUUUGUCGUGAAACAGACUGCCGGCACAUUUAUGAAAGGGUAAUUGAGGUCCCAAAUUAAGACUCCUGGACUCGACUAAAUGUUCCAUUUGCCGAUUACACACUCCGCCUGAAGUUAACAAAUCAUUUGUCAGACUCGUCAAGUGAAAAUGUGUUAACAUUCUGCAAGAUAGCCCAUUAAAACAUAAAUACGCAGUCUUACGCAAGUUUGAGACGGAAGUAGGGAAAUUCAAUGAUGCUAUAUCAAUUGGGACGAUGCCGUCGGAAUUGAAAGAAAGGAGGGGAAGAGUCAACAAUGCAGUUAUUGGUUUAUCACUAUCUGGCAUAGUAGGAGGAAUGAUUGGAAAUUGUUGGUCUUGCUCUUAUACCAGUUACAUUCGGGGCAUCAUUGGGUCUAACUAUUGCCGGUGGUGUGAUUGGUGCCUCAAGCGGAAUAGCGCAAGGAGUUUUCCGCAUUCACGAAGCGGUUAAGCAGAACAAAUCAACUGCUCAAAUAAGGGCAACGUUGGAAAAGGAAAGAGGAGACUUUGAAAAAGCGCUUACAGAUUUCACGGAAGAAUUCAAUGUAGAUGCCAUUGGAAACAGCGGCCCUGAAAGUCCAGGUUUGAACAUUCGAGGUAGUUUGUCAAUAGGUGCGAUUUUACGGUCAGUUCAUAGCGGUGUUGGGAUAGGUUUGGCUGCUACUUAAGUUGGGGCCUCCGCUGCAACAGCAGCGGCAUCCGUUCUAGCUCCAGUUGGUCUUAUCCUGGACUUUGCUUUUAUUGCAGACUCGCUGUGUGACAAGCUAAAUGGUAAUCACACCGGAGCUGGAAGGAAACUUGAAUGUUUACGAGUAUUUCAGACUGUUGUUAAUGCAGCAUACAGGGGAAAUGCUGACUUAAGCACAAACAUUGUAGAAAGCAUAUUGCAUAACGACUAAAGGGUUAAGAAUAAAUAUACAUAUGGACAGGCUAAAUACUUUUGAAAAUCGUAUUAUUAUCUGUUUAACUCAUUUAGUUCAUCCAUGUUAUUGGCUGGCUUUAUUGUGUCAUUCGUAUCACAUAGGUAUUGUAGUUUUUAGCUCAUCCCAAUAAAUGAAACGACACAACUGAUGCUUCAGCCGAAAAAAACGUUUAGAUAAUCCCAUUCUAAUACAUCUUAUUUUAGUGUAACCAUAUGUUUAAAUGCCGAUUUUUUUUAAGUGGAUGAUGUUUCCACUACUAUCAUGUACAAUUGUUCCACUGGUCAUGCACUUGUAUGGUUAAAAGAAUUAUUGUAAAAACAAGAACCAGGACGCACAUUUAGAUUCGAUACUAGUAGAUUGAGUCAAUGAUGUUAUGCAAUUCAUUUUAAUAAUCGCAAUUCAGUGAAAGAAGCAUGAGAAAAAUUGGACAAAUACUAUUCAAUGGGUAGCAAAUGGGACAAAUACUGUGGAAUGGGCUACUCUUAAAAAGAAACUAUCAGUUCGUUUUCAUAUAACUCAAAAGUUUAUUCGUCAAAACAGUGAGUAAAACUUUUAAAUUUUAUUGAUGUGAUUGACUUGCUUAUGAACUUAAAACUCGUUUGAAAUUACUGUUAAGUAUGUUUUGUAUAAUCCAUAUUUUCAUUAAUGCUUAUUUGUUAUGUCUUUUAUCGUGCAUGUGUGUUUUGGUGUGUUGAUAAUUAUGACUUUGCAUUUUUCCAACUGAUUUAAAGUAGCCACAUAUAAAUUUUAUCUAUUGACGUUUAUCGAUGCAUUCGUAUUAAAAAUGUUAUAUUUUGAUGA